GAUCAACGCUGGCGGCGUGCAUAACACAUGCAAGUCGAACGAAGUGGCGAACGGGUGAGUAACACGUGAGUGACCUGCCUUACACAAUGGGAUAGCCUUUGGAAACGAAGAAUAAUACCCUAUAGUGUAAGAUGGACUUGCGUCUGAUUAGCUAGUUGGUGAGAUAAAGGCCCACCAAGGCAACGAUCAGUAGCCGGAUUGAGAGAAUUUACGGCAACAUUGGGACUGAGACACGGCCCAAACUCUACGGUCGGCAGCAGCGUGGAAUGUUUAACAAUGGGAGAGACCCUGAUGCAGCGACACCGCGUGAUUUAGAAGGCCUUCGGGUUGUAAAAAUCUUUUUUAUGGGAUGCAGUACCAUACGAAGAAGGGCCGUCGAAAUACGUGCCAGCAGCCGCGGUAAUUC
rnacentral:rRNA from 1 species